rnacentral:rRNA from 1 species
CUACGUAGGGAGCGAGCGUUGUCCGGAAUUACUGGGUGUAAAGGGAGCGUAGGCGGGAGUGCAAGUCAGAUGUGAAAUGCAUGGGCUUAACCCAUGAGCUGCAUUUGAAACUGCAUUUCUUGAGUGAAGUAGAGGUAAGCGGAAUUCCUGGUGUAGCGGUGAAAUGCGUAGAUAUCAGGAGGAACACCGGUGGCGAAGGCGGCUUACUGGGCUUUUACUGACGCUGAGGCUCGAAAGCGUGGGGAGCAAACAGGAUUAGAUACCCUGGUAGUCCACGCUGUAAACGAUGAUUACUAGGUGUGGGGGGACUGACCCCUUCCGUGCCGCAGUUAACACAAUAAGUAAUCCACCUGGGGAGU